CGUACGGCUCUCGACAAUGGAUAUCUCAGCUCUUGCAUCGAUGAAGAACGUAGCGAAAUGCGGUACCUGGUGUGAAUUGCAGAAUCCCACGAACCAUUGAGUCUUUGAAUGCAAGUUGCGCCUGAGGCCAUCUGGUCGAGGGCACGCCUGCCUGGGCAUCACGC
rnacentral:rRNA from 1 species